UAAAGGACCCAGUGCACAAUAAGUUGCAGCUGUGGCUCAGAUUCAGUCCUUGGCCUGGGAAGUUCCAUAUGCCGCUGGGGGCAGCCAUUUAACAAACAAAAGCAAAAACAAACGACCCCAGAACUCCAGGAGGAAUAAAUGGCUUGCGUGUGACCUUGGAGAAAUGAUUUGCUCUCUCUGUUCCUGGUGUUCUUUAUAAAAUGGAGACAACACAAGUACCUGCCUGGGGCAGUUGCUGGAGUGGUGGUGAAUGAGAUGACAUAGAGAACACAUACCUAGCCCUGCCGACUGUGCCUGGUAGCCAGUCUGCCCCUUUAAGCUUAGCCGUUGCUCCGAGGUCUGCCCUCUGCAGCAGUCAUCUGUCCCAGCCGGAGAAAUGAGCGGGGCUGCUAUACAGACGAGGACUGUGCCAGGCUGCCCGCUGGCAGGAGGAGAAGGGCUGAUGGGAUCCCAAAGCGCUGCUCCUGAACUGUGUCGACGGAGGGGAGUUCAGACCCUACUGGAGUCCAGAACGCGGGUGCACUCUGCCACCUGCUCUGCAUGAGCCCUCCCUGAGGGCGAGUUCCUCAACCUGGGACUGUCGAUUUGUUCACCUUUUCAAUGGAAGUAACAUACCCACCACUGUGUCAGGGAAAGAUGCAACUGCUAAUACCUAAGACGUGAUAAGCACACGGACUGGCACCUACUAAAGAUUUAUUUCAGAUUAUAAAAAGUUGCUAUUUCUGCUCUUAACUUUUUUCUUUAUUGUAAAGUGCUCCCCUUCCACGCCCACCACCCUGUUUCAAACAAAGAGCACACCAAAGUUUCUGUAAAUCUGGUCCUGUUUGAACCCAAGCAGACGUGACUUUAAUGUGAUAUCACAAAGGUUCAGACCAGGUCCUGUGUUACCCAAACUGCCUCCUUGUUGGCUGAUCACAUGACUGUCAUUCCCUUCACAUGCCCGGAGCUCAGGCUGCGAGCUAAAAUCAGAAUGAGCCAAAGGUUUCCGGUCAAUUCAGCCUAAGAUUCUUCCCCUUGUGACGACAUCGGGGCCUCUGCAUCAUGAGCCGGGGUGCGGGGGAGGAGCCUGUGUGGUUGUACUGGUACCCCUCGCCCACCUCGCCCCUCUCCCCCCUCAGUGGCCCUGGGACCCAGGGCGUGAGAGAGGGAGAAGGUGUGCCAGUCCUCAGAGCCACCUGCAACCGCACAGACAGCACCCCCUACCCGACUCUAUCCCCAGCCCAGGACCACUUUGCCUCCACAGAGAUCCAGGCGUCUUCCUUAGUGCAACCGGGCCAGGGGCUGUGCCUCUGCCACUUCUCCAAGCUGGUGCCCAGUGGAAUUGGCCAGGGAUGCAGUGGCUCUGUUGGCAGCCCCGAGGGGCAGAGGGGCAUUCUGUGCCAUUUGGACAGAGUCACAUUUCCAACUGGAUUGAAAGUGGAAUCUUUAAUAAUAUAUAGAUUUUUCAGUGACUGAAGCCUUGCUCUUGCCAAAUCCUAGCAUAAAGCAUAUUUUUACAGCUGGGAUGAUAAAUCCCUGAAAGACGGCACUUACCAUGGAAACGCUGACACAGCCUUUCAUUCCCUUCGCAGUGAUUAAAAUCCUCAUUUCAA